rnacentral:rRNA from 1 species
CAUGUAGGCGGUUUUGUAAGCCUGGUGUGAAAUCCUGCAGCUUAACUGUAGAAUUGCAUUGGGUACUGCGAGACUUGAAUCACAGAGGGGAAACUAGAAUUCCAGGUGUAGGGGUGGAAUCUGUAGAUAUCUGGAAGAAUACCGGUGGCGAAGGCGGGUUUCUAGCUGAUGAUUGACGCUGAGGUGCGAAAGUGCGGGGAGCAAACA